rnacentral:rRNA from 1 species
UACAAUGAUUGACGGGGCCCGCACAAGCGGUGGAGCAUGUGGUUUAAUUCGACGCAACGCGAAGAACCUUACCUGGGCUUGACAUCUGCGGAAUUUCUACGAAAGUAGGAAGUGCCCUUCGGGGAGCCGCAAGCAGGUGCUGCAUGGCUGUCGUCAGCUCGUGUCGUGAGAUGUUGGGUUAAGUCCCGCAACGAGCGCAACCCUUAUCUUUAGUUACCAUCAUUCAGUUGGGGACUCUAAAGACACUGCCCCGGUCAACGGGGAGGAAGGUGGGGAUGACGUCAAGUCCUCAUGGCCCUUAUGUCCAGGGCUACACACGUGCUACAAUGGGCAGUACAAAGGGUAGCAAGCCUGCGAAGGUGAGCCAAUCCCAAAAAGCUGUUCGUAGUUCGGAUUGGAGUCUGCAACUCGGCUCCAUGAAGCUGGAAUCGCUAGUAAUCGCGUAUCAGCGUGACGCGGUGAAUACGUUCCCGGGCCUU